GGGAAACUCGGCGAUGCGAAUCGCCCACGAGAUCAACAUCAUCAACGACCCACACGCAAGAGAAAGGGUGGAGGUGAGCCAUGGGAAGGGAAAGGCAUUGAGGACCUUCUUGUUAUAGAUGUUGAAAACGACGUUCAGCGCCCACCACGUGGCGAAGUAGAUCCCGAUCUUCAACUUCUGUGCGGCAGCCGCCUUGCUAUCUGGAGUAGGGACAGGAUCGAUCCGAUCGGCAUCCAAGGCGGCAGUGCGGAGGCGGCGCGGCGGAGCCGCGGCGGUGCGGUGGGUGAGGUAGAGGGGUUUAAGGGUUUGGGGGGUGCGGAUGGCGGAGACUAGGGUGAGGGAGUUAAAGCGAGGGAUGGCGGAGCGGCGGAGGAGGUCGGGGGCGGCGGCAAUCGCCGGCGCCGCCGUAAGCUUUGACGACGAGAUCAUCGCUGGAUCUGGCGGGGAUUUGAAUGAUGGGGACGGUAUUUCCGAGUUGAAAUGUAGCUCGGAA
rnacentral:misc_RNA from 1 species